rnacentral:rRNA from 1 species
GAGCCUACCAUGCAGUCGAGCGGUAGCACAGGGAGCUUGCUCUUGGGUGACGAGCGGCGGACGGGUGAGUAAUGUCUGGGAAACUGCCUGAUGGAGGGGGAUAACUACUGGAAACGGUAGCUAAUACCGCAUAACGUCGCAAGACCAAAGAGGGGGACCUUCGGGCCUCUUGCCAUCAGAUGUGCCCAGAUGGGAUUAGCUAGUAGGUGGGGUAACGGCUCACCUAGGCGACGAUCCCUAGCUGGUCUGAGAGGAUGACCAGCCACACUGGAACUGAGACACGGUCCAGACUCCUACGGGAGGCAGCAGUGGGGAAUAUUGCACAAUGGGCGCAAGCCUGAUGCAGCCAUGCCGCGUGUAUGAAGAAGGCCUUCGGGUUGUAAAGUACUUUCAGCGGGGAGGAAGGCGUUAAGGUUAAUAACCUUGUCGAUUGACGUUACCCGCAGAAGAAGCACCGGCUAACUCCGUGCCAGCAGCCGCGGUAAUACGGAGGGUGCAAGCGNUAAUCGGAAUUACUGGGCGUAAAGCGCACGCAGGCGGUCUGUCAAGUCGGAUGUGAAAUCCCCGGGCUCAACCUGGGAACUGCAUUCGAAACUGGCAGGCUAGAGUCUUGUAGAGGGGGGUAGAAUUCCAGGUGUAGCGGUGAAAUGCGUAGAGAUCUGGAGGAAUACCGGUGGCGAAGGCGGCCCCCUGGACAAAGACUGACGCUCAGGUGCGAAAGCGUGGGGAGCAAACAGGAUUAGAUACCCUGGUAGUCCACGCCGUAAACGAUGUCGACUUGGAGGUUGUGCCCUUGAGGAGUGGCUUCCGGAGCUAACGCGUUAAGUCGACCGCCUGGGGAGUACGGCCGCAAGGUUAAAACUCAAAUGAAUUGACGGGGGCCCGCACAAGCGGUGGAGCAUGUGGUUUAAUUCGAUGCAACGCGAAGAACCUUACCUACUCUUGACAUCCAGAGAACUUAGCAGAGAUGCUUUGGUGCCUUCGGGAACUCUGAGACAGGUGCUGCAUGGCUGUCGUCAGCUCGUGUUGUGAAAUGUUGGGUUAAGUCCCGCAACGAGCGCAACCCUUAUCCUUUGUUGCCAGCGGUUAGGCCGGGAACUCAAAGGAGACUGCCAGUGAUAAACUGGAGGAAGGUGGGGAUGACGUCAAGUCAUCAUGGCCCUUACGAGUAGGGCUACACACGUGCUACAAUGGCGCAUACAAAGAGAAGCGACCUCGCGAGAGCAAGCGGACCUCAUAAAGUGCGUCGUAGUCCGGAUUGGAGUCUGCAACUCGACUCCAUGAAGUCGGAAUCGCUAGUAAUCGUAGAUCAGAAUGCUACGGUGAAUACGUUCCCGGGCCUUGUACACACCGCCCGUCACACCAUGGGAGUGGGUUGCAAAAGAAGUAGGUAGCUUAACCUUCGGGAGGGCGCUUACCACUUUGUGAUUCAUGACUGGGGGAAGUCGAAGCA